AGCCCGGGCGCCCCUCGAGGACGGCGGCCGUGGAGCGCGGGGAGCGGGGCGCCUGCCCGCCCCUCGGCCCGGCACCCCUCCCGCCCCGGGGCUCCUGCCCCUACCGCUCCCGCCGCCGCCGCCGCCUGGUCUUCCCCGAGGGCUCAGCGUCGGUCUCCGCAGUUUGGCUGGAAACGUGGGAAGGCGGGAGCCCAGGCGGAGAAAGACGCCCCGGGCCCGGACCUGCAGCUGGAGCCGCAGUCCAGCAGCGGGACGCUCGGCUCCGCGGCUUCAGAGUCCCCUUCUGGGUCUACCGGCCGCGGGGACUCUGCGCGCCCGCGCACGGGGAGGAGGUGCGGGCCCUGGCGCUGGAAGAUGGACGCAGCGCCCAGACAGGAAGCUCCUCGCGCUUCCUGGAGAGUUGGCUCCGCGGGGUGCGUCGCCGGGGAGGGAGGGACGGGCCGUGGGGCGACCAGCCGGGCGGGGAGUGGCUUCUGGGGGCCCCCUCGCCAGCGGCGGGCCCGCGAGGCCGCCCUCGGAGCGCCGCCAGGGGGCUGCAUUUUCCUACUCCAAGCUGCGGAGAAGGAUGCGCGACAGAUUAACCCCUCGGUGGCGACUCCUUUGUCUGGCCCGGCCACUGCUGAGACGACAGAGCGGCGCCCUCGGCCUGAGGACUGGGCACCAGUGCCCGAGGAGCGCGCCGGCCGUCCGAAGGCCCCUUCUCCAGCCCAGGCAGGGCCCUGCGCAGGCCGAGCCGCGGGCCUCGGCGGGACACCAGGAAUGGAGCAGGCUCGUCUGCGCUACUCGCUGCAAAAUGACUGCGCUCCCGCAGGGCCUGCUCCGCGCCCGCGCCGACGACGAGGCCUCGCCCAGGGUGCCAGCAAGACCCACCGCGUCCCGGACCCACUGCGUUCUCCACCUGCAGCCCCUCGGGGGCCCAGACGGCGAGUGAGGCCCUGGGGAGUGGGCGUCAGCGCCCAGAACUUUCCAGGCCCAGCCAAACCCCCGCCUCUAAGCGGACCGACCCCAGAGCCCGCCCUCUCCGCCCGGCGGGUUGACGCUCCCUCCCCCAGCGGAGAAAGGCGCAGCCCGCUGGGCAAGUGGAGGACCGAGGUGGGGAUGGGGUCUUGAUGACCCUGCCCGAGCCUGGCCCGCCAGCGCCCGCGGCCCAUUCCCCUGUCACUUAUGAUUAAGGUCGGGCUCCAUUCUCCCGAUAGCGGCGUCCUCCUCUUCCUUUCUGCCCCCCGCCCCCAUUUAUUGGGUGGUUUGUUGAAGAUGGAUUUAGCAUUCCCCUCCCCGAGCAUCCGGGGCAGAAGGCAGCCCCGAGCGAGCGCGGGCCACCCCUCCCCAGUCGGUCUCCGGGCCGGCUGGCACGCGGAAGCCAGAGCCACUGCGACCGCCACGCCGGGCAGGGCUUCGGCCCGAGACCCCGGCCGCGACGUGGGGCCGAGGCUGGAGGGACCGCCGGGCGCUCCACUUGGCUCUCGCCGGGCCACGAACCCCGAAUCCCGCGCUGCGCAUCCGGCGGGCUGCGGGUGCGCGCCUUGAAUUAAAUCUUCGCAGCGCCUGACCUUGUUUUUUCCUCCGCCCGAUAGCAGCAGCAGCUGUUUUUUCCAGAAUUCCUGCUGCUGGGGGAGGGGCGUUAUUAUUAUUAUUUUUUGGUUGUCACAACCUCCUGGAGAAAUUCCCUGGCCUCGGAAAGUGUAACAAUAGCCCAGCUCCUUUCUGGAGGAAGCGCCCCCUCCUCUCCUUUCUCCAGGGACCCCUCUGCCCUCGGGCUGCUCCUGGGACCUCCUCCACUGUUCCAGCCCCAGCCCCCUCCUGGCCCUUCAGACCUGGCUCCCAAAUGCCUUGGGGUCCUGCUCCUGCCCCCCUCACUUCUGGGAGAGGUCACAGCUUUCUGAACCGGGGAGAAGUUAGUGGUCUCCUCCAGCAUGGUUGGGGGACGACUGGAGCCUUCCGGCCCCGCCCCCACCCCCAGCCCAUUCGGUGCUACGCCUCGCUGGGGUGUCCCUUCUCCAGGAAACCUAGCCGUGUUUGCUUUUGGGGUCAGCGCUAGCCUCGAGGUAGUUAAAGAUUAAUGGGCCUGGGCCCUGGAGGAUGGGAGGAGGGGGCCUGGGGACGGAGUCUGGCACAGGUGGUGUCUGUGGUCCCUCCCCUGCGGCCAGGCCCGGGCUGGCCUCUGCACUCACAGAUACUCCCCCCUCCAUCCAUAGGGCUGAAUAGUGGGUUCACCUAGGCAGCAGUUGCUGCUCACCUGUCCCGCCAGGGAGGAAAUUGGGGAGCUCUGGUUCCAGACGUGACCUGGCUUCCGGCUUGCCCCCUGCAGACUCCCAGUGCAUAGUGCGGAAAGAGGAGGGGACUUUGGCCGUCCUGGCCCCCUCCCCCAGUGCUGCAGCAAGCCUAGAAAAGUGGCCUUGCUGAGGAAGGGCCAGGGAAAGCCAGACUGGCUGGCUGGUCUUGCGGUGUGCAGGCUGGCCUGGGCCUCCUGGUAUCGGCCUCGCCGGGUCAGUCCCAUUCAGCUUCUCUGUCACUGGGGGUGGGGGGAGUGUACGUGGAGGGGCUGCCAGGGGCCCUUACACAGCCCUCUCUGCUGGGCCCUCCUUGGUCAAGAAGGGGAGAGGGGCAGGUCCCAGCCCCACCCACCGAGGCUUCUCUCCCCCGGACCCCCUGACCCAUCCACCACGUAGCCUCCAGGACCUUCCCCAGAAGCCCUGGUCCUGCCGUGAGUUGAUUUACCUUCGUCUCACCAGGUGCACGGCUUUGACACACGGCCUGCGAGGAGGACGGAAUGAACUUUAGUCUCCAGGCCUUCAAGGCGGUAGGGACUAUACUUCAUUAAUGGUUGUUAUGCAAUAAAAACGAUAAAAUGGUCCCUAUUUGCGAUUUAAAAAUGUAAUUUAUUUUAAUUUACAUUUCUAAGUACUUCUGGGGUUUGAUGGGGG
ensembl:lncRNA